CGCGGGGUAGAGCAGUGGCAGCUCGUCAGGCUCAUAACCUGAAGGUCGUUGGUUCGAAUCCAACCCCCGCAACCA
rnacentral:tRNA from 6 species